rnacentral:lncRNA from 1 species
GUUUAAUAAAAAUUUUCCCUAAAUCUCUUCCCUCCCAAAUAUAUUAGAAAAUUUUCCCCCUCUUCAACAUCUCCCCCCAAAAUCAAUUUCCCAUUCCAAAAUCAACUUCCCUCUUCAAACUAGGGCAACUUCAAUUCUAAAAAAUUCUUCCAUCCUCAUCUUCUAAGGUCAGAUUGCUGGCAAAUUCCCUCCCAGUCGUUGUUUCUGCCUUCGCCAGAUCAGAACUAGUCACCUAGCUACUGGAAUCGAGGGUUGGUGGCGAUUGGUACAAGCGAAUGAUUCUGUUGAUUCUAAUUAGUGGAUAAAUAGUCGGUUUUGGUAGAUCUUUGUCAGAAAGUGCAUUAACUGCUUCAAUUUAUGAUUUCAUGGAACGACGUGCCAACCACCAUGACACCGAGCGUUGUGGCCAAGGUCGACUACUCGACCGCCGCCAUCUGCAUAAAAUAGGGUAUCGGCUAAUAAAUACUGUUUAUCCGGAUGCCUUCCAUCUGCAUACAUGGAACGGGAAUUUUGGCUU